GGGUGCGAUCAUACCAGCACUAAUGCACCGGAUCCCAUCAAAACACCGCUAUUAAGCGUGCUUGGGCGAGAGUAGUACUAGAAUGGGUUACCUCCCAGGAAGUCGUCGUGUGGCACCCC
rnacentral:rRNA from 1 species